rnacentral:lncRNA from 1 species
UGACACAUUGUCGUAACUGAGUUUGCGAUCCGUACUAGAGUAGUUGGGAUGUGUUGAUGAGGUUACUGGUGUUUGGCAUGGAAGAUUGAAGGGAGAGAUUAGUGUGAAAGAUUCGUUGGGGAAAUGUUGGAAUGGUUGUUUUGGUGUCUGAUAGACAUGUGAUUGUUGUGAUGUUUGAGCGUUUUGACUAUGGUAUGAAGAAGAGUUUGGUG